CUUGAUUUAAACUUUAUGUAUAAACAAUUGUACUUUGAAUUUCAUUGGUGUAUGUGUGUAAACACUUAUUUCUAAUUUGAUAUUGCAUGAGGGUUUAGGAUUUGGAGACCUUUCUAGAAUGUCUUUGAUCUUCAAAACUUACUGAAUGUUCAGGUUUAACAUUUUCCUUUGGGACAGUUUGCAAGCAAUGCUGAAAGUUUAUGGUAAAAUAUAUGAGACUGCUGUGUAGUAGAAGUCACUUAUUUACUGUCUUAGUUCAUUUUCUGCUACUAUAAAAGAAUAUUACAGACUGGGUAGAUUAUAAAGAACAGAAUUGUAUUUGGUUUGCGAUUCUAGAGACUUGGAAGUUUAAGAAUACUGUCCCAGCAUCUGGCCAAAGUCAUCUCAUAGCGGAAGGGUGGGAUGCAGAAGGGCAAGAGUGGGAUGCAGAAGGGGCUGGACUCCCUUCAUUACAAGCUGCUCUUGAGAUAACUAACCUGUUCCCAUUAUAAUGACAUUAAUCGAUUCUUGAGGCUCCGCCCUCAUGACCUGAUCACCUCUCUUAUUAGGCCCUACUUCCCAACAUUGUUGGAUUGGGGAUAAAGUUUCCAACACAGGAAGUUUUGGGGGACACAUUCGAACUAUGGCAGCUAUCUUCAGCUCUGAGGAUUAGUGACUCUUCUUCCAGCUUAGUUCCAGCUGAGAAUGCAGUUCAGUUGAUGUCUUGGUUGCAGCCUUGUAAGCCUAUAAGCAGAAGAUCCAGUUAUGUUAAAGCCUAGACUCCUGACCUGCAGAAACUCUGAGUAACAAAAUGUGUGUUGUUUUAAGCUGCGAAGCUUGUGGUGAUUUGUUACAUAGUAAUGAAACUAAUAAAUUUGUCUAAACUAAAUAAUUCAGGCCAGGAAAAAUCCCCCUAUGCUCGUAUGAAUAUAAUCAUUAUAUCUGCCACACAUACCUUCAAGUUCAAGCUUUAAAAGGCUACUUGCUGCACCACUAGAUCACUUGUUCUCCACCAACCAUGGCAUAUUUGCUCACAUCUCUCUACCUGUGUUUAUGAGGGCGUUUUUAAAAAUAGAGUUUCCAAAAGUGUAGGACACAUUUCAUUUAUCAUAAGCUGGACCUGGUAGGUAGAUAAUUAUGUUCACACACAUAGCAUUAAAUCAAAUUGUAUUACGACUUGGAAAAUAUUUUUUUUUCCUCAAUUUUCUUGGCAUCUGUCUUAGUCCUCU
rnacentral:lncRNA from 10 species